AUGGCUGCUUUUCAUGGGGGAACCUGGGAGCCCCCCGCGCCUCCCCGCAGCGACAGCGGCCAAUCCGGCUGGCCUGAGGCCGCCCGCCGGCCCUCCUGGCUUCCCUCGACGAGCCCACCGCGUCUCCGCGCCCAGCGUCAUCCUGUGAGUGCCUGCCGGGCGAGGAGGCUGGGCCGGCUGCGGGAAAUGCUGUCGGUUGGCCUAGGCUUUCUGCGCGCCGAGCUGGGCCGCGACCUGGCCGGGAGAGCACGCCCGCAAGCGCCAGCGGGAGGCGGCGGCCCUGCCGACCUGGCCCUGCCGAAGAAUCUCAGAAGCGACGAGCAGAAGAAGAACCGGAAGAAACUGACGGAGAAACCCAGACCAAAUGGACGGACUGCUGAAGUGGCUGAGGAUGGAGUCCGAACUCCUCAAAGUGUAACAGCAAAGCAGCUACCAGAGAUAGAUAAGAAAAAUGAAAAGUCAAAGAAAAAUAAGAAGAAAUCAAAGUCAGACGCUAAAGCAGUGCAGAACAGUUCACGCCAUGAUCGAAAGGCAGUUGAUGAAGGCGCCUGGGAAACUAAAAUUAGUCACAGAGAGAAACGCCAGCAACGUAAACGUGAUACGGUGAUGACUGAUUCUGGUUCAUUGGAUUCUACUAUCCCUGGAAUAGAAAAUACCAUCACAGUUACCACCGAGCAACUUACAACUGCAUCAUUUCCUGUUGGUUCCAAGAAGAAUAAAGGUGAUUCCCAUCUAAAUGUUCAAGUUAGCAACUUUAAGUCUGGAAAAGGAGAUUCUACACUUCAGGAUUGAAUGAAAACCUCACUGUCAAUGGAGGAGGCUGGAAUGAAAAGUCUAUAAAACCCUCCUCACAGAUCAGUGCAGGUGAGGAGAAGUGGAACUCUGUUUCACCUGCUUCUGCAGGCAAGAGGAAAACUGAGCCAUCUGCUUGGAGUAAAGACACUGGAGAUGCUAAUUCAAAUGGAAAAGACUGGGGAAGGAAUUGGAAUGACCAUUCAAUAUUUUCUGACAUUGGGUCUACUGCUGAGCCAGUUUCUCGGUCUACCACUUCUGAUUAUCAGUGGGAUGUUAGCCGUAAUCAACCCUAUAUCGAUGAUGAAUGGUCUGGGUUAAAUGGUCUGUCUUCUGUUGAUCCCAGCUCAGACUGGAAUGCACCAGCAGAAGAGUGGGGGAAUUGGGUAGAUGAAGAAAGAGCUUCAAUUCUAAAGUCCCAGGAACCGAUUCAUGAUGAUCAAAAGGUUUCAGAUGAUGAUAAAGGGAGAGGGAGCACUUCCAACAGGGAAGUCUAAAAAGAAAAAGAAGCAGCAAGGUGAAGAUAUCUCUCUUGCUCAGGACACAGAAGAAUUAGAAAAAGAAACUAAAGAAGAGCUUCCAGUAAAUACCUCUAAAGCCCGUCCAAAACAGGAAAAAGCUUUUUCCUCGAAGACCAUAAGCACAAGUGAUCCAGCUGAAGUACUCAUCAAAAAUAGCCAGCCUAUCAAGACUCUUUCACCUGCUGUUUCUACCGAGUCAUCUGUUAUUUUAUCAAAAAGUGACUCUGACAAGAGCUCUUCCCAAGUGCCACCGAUGCUACAAGAGACAGAAAAAUCCAAGUCAAAUACCAAGCAAAAUAGUGUGCCUCCUUCACAGACCAAGUCUGAAACUAGCUGGGAAUCUCCCAAACAAAUAAAAAAGAAGAAAAAAGCCAGAAGAGAAAUGUGAAUUUUUUUCCAGAAUUGGACAGACACGUGUUUGCAAACACUGUCUUGAAGAUAUGCUGUUUAUGCAAUUUGUGAACAUGUGCAGAGUUUUAUAUAAAUUUAAACCAAUUUUUAAAACAAAACUGUGAACACAACCACCAUAAAAAUGGAAUCAAAGGAAAAUUAAUUUAUGAAAUUAAGAGGUCAGCAGAAUAUACUACAGUGCUGGAAGACACUUGGGAAAGUCUUUUUAAUUGAACAAGAGUGAUCUUAAUUUAAGAAUACUAUCCUGGUUUUACAACAGUGCCCUGUUUACAACAGAUUGUGCCUUAACUCAUCUGCAGUCAAGGAAUAAAGGAUUCUGAUUAGAAAGAGGGUUGCCUACAAAUUAGUAGGCAACUCCUUGGAUCUUAUGCACAGAACUUGUACCAUUUCAAUCUGUUUUAUGCUUAAAUCAAAGUGCUUUGAUCAACUGCAUAAUCUGCCAUAUCUUUACAUAUUUGUUGGUUGCAAUUUGUAUUAAAGGAAACACAGUGCAAAUAAAAAGUCAUUUAUCAUUUAUUUAACUAAACUGUCAUAGUUUAGUUUAUAAUUUUUAAAAAGUUCUUAAUUAAAAUAUUGAAAAUGCAGUUGACACUUGUAUGGCUUAUGAAG